ACAAUACCAUAUUAUUUUUACGUACUUAACUGUUUUGAUUUGCAGUUUCAGAAACAGGAUACACUAAAUGGGUGGAACUACUUGGAUCUGAUUUGCUGUAGUUGCUGAAUUAAGACAUAAGACAAUGUAAAAAAAUUUGCUGAAAUGUAAUCAAUAGCUUAUUAAAUAUAAUUAAUAGCUUGUUAAAUAGAAUGAAUAUCUGAAAUCUAAUGAAGGCUUUCGGAACAUAUUGUACAUGCAUCUACUUCAGUAGUCCAUGUUCUAUGUGGAUAUUUGAUUUUACAUUUUAUAAGAUUUCAAGCUGAAGCCAUUAAGAAAUCAACCUUUUCCAAUUGCAUUACAGAUCUUUUUUGAGAUACUUUAUCCUUGGGGGAAACUGUCUCCUAUGUCUAUUGAAAUCAAGCCUGAGGAUGAGGCCUUUCUGACCUUAUUAAAAUGUUCUUAUUGAAAUGCAUGCUUAAGCAUGACAAUCGCAAAUGGCUCCUAAUCUACUACAACAGGAUCAGCAAGUCUAUAAUGCAGAAACAAAAAAGUGCGUUGCAAAACCAGAAGGGCACAGAGGCGAAAUUUCAAAGGCAGCAAAGAUAACUCCUGCAGAAUAUGAGCCUGACUAAAGUGAAUGAAAGAUCCAGUUUGGUAUAUGCCUACUUUGUGAGACACAUAGUCAACAAACUCAGUCUUUCAGAUCUGUUUUCUUUUAAGAUAAAAUGAAAUGUUUUCUUGUAUUUCAGUUUGUGCAUGUUGCCUUUUUAUUGUGUACUCCCAAGAAGAGUGGCUUAGUUACCUCAAUCACCUCAGAGAAAUGAUUAGUGUUAAUGAACUCAGUAUGAUGGCCCCAUCUUUU